AUGAACGCUGGCGGCGUGCCUAAUACCUGCAAGUCGAGCGAACAGACGAGGAGCUUGCUCCUCUGACGUUAGCGGCGGACGGGCGAGUAACACGUGGAUAACCUACCUAUAAGACUGGGAUAACUUCGGGAAACCGGAGCUAAUACCGGAUAAUAUAUUGAACCGCAUGGUUCAAUAGUGAAAGACGGUUUUGCUGUCACUUAUAGAUGGAUCCGCGCCGCAUUAGCUAGUUGGUAAGGUAACGGCUUACCAAGGCAACGAUGCGUAGCCGACCUGAGAGGGUGAUCGGCCACACUGGAACUGAGACACGGUCCAGACUCCUACGGGAGGCAGCAGUAGGGAAUCUUCCGCAAUGGGCGAAAGCCUGACGGAGCAACGCCGCGUGAGUGAUGAAGGUCUUCGGAUCGUAAAACUCUGUUAUUAGGGAAGAACAAAUGUGUAAGUAACUAUGCACGUCUUGACGGUACCUAAUCAGAAAGCCACGGCUAACUACGUG
rnacentral:rRNA from 1 species